rnacentral:rRNA from 1 species
GACGAACGCUGGCGGCGUGCUUAACACAUGCAAGUCGAACGGAAAGGCCCUGCUUUUGUGGGGUGCUCGAGUGGCGAACGGGUGAGUAACACGUGAGUAACCUGCCCUUGACUUUGGGAUAACUUCAGGAAACUGGGGCUAAUACCGGAUAGGAGCUCCUGCUGCAUGGUGGGGGUUGGAAAGUUUCGGCGGUUGGGGAUGGACUCGCGGCUUAUCAGCUUGUUGGUGGGGUAGUGGCUUACCAAGGCUUUGACGGGUAGCCGGCCUGAGAGGGUGACCGGCCACAUUGGGAGUGAGAUCCGGCCCGGACUCCUACGGGAGGAAGCAGGGGGGAAUAUGGCACAAGGGGGGGAAGCCUGAUGCAGCAACGCCGCGUGGGGGAUGACGGCCUUCGGUUUGAAACCCGCUUUCGCCUGUGACGAAGGGGGAGGGACGGUAGGGGGUAAAGAAGCACCGGCUAAUUACGUC